AAUCCUAGUCGUGGUCCCACUGAAAUUAUGAAAACUUCUAUUUACUUUUUCAGGGCAAGGCCACAUCGAUCCUUUAAUUAGCUGGGACCCAAGCUUACUACUGAAGUUAGUGACAAACUCUUAAACUGCCUCUAGCAAUUAUGUACCUUGGAUUAGUGCAUAUUAUGAUUGCUUCUGAUCUGGGAGCCUCAGCAUGUGCAGUUUGUACAAGCCCCACCAUUUGCUUGAUCUUCACAUGCAGGGCAGUUGAAAAUGAUGUCCCCUCUUAGUGGAGCUUGUGAAGACACAAAUGUUUCUUCCAACUGAAGGAAUUCAAAGCUGCUGAAUUACAGGUUACCUCUUAGAGUUAAGAGACCAGAAGUGAAGCACAGAACCAGAUCCAAAUGACACAAAAGGUAAGAAGUGGAAAACGUUGGCAAUCAUUGCUUUUUCAUAGGCAACAAUCAACCAUAGCUGCUCUCAAGAAGGUGUGCCUCAAAGAUCCACUGAGCUCAUUCAAAUAACUUUAUGAUCUCAGUAACUUGAAUUGGAGAUCUGAUUGCACGGAGGUAAAGAGGGGGAG
rnacentral:lncRNA from 1 species